UACGUAGGGGGCAAGCGUUGUUCGGAAUUACUGGGCGUAAAGGGCGCGUAGGCGGCACGACAAGUCGGGGGUGAAAGCCCGGGGCUCAACCCCGGAAUGUCUCUCGAAACUGUCGAGCUAGAGUGCAGAAGAGGCAACUGGAAUUCCCAGUGUAGCGGUGAAAUGCGUAGAUAUUGGGAAGAACACCUGAGGCGAAGGCGGGUUGCUGGGCUGACACUGACGCUGAGGCGCGAAAGCCAGGGGAGCAAACGGG
rnacentral:rRNA from 1 species